rnacentral:rRNA from 1 species
GAUGAACGCUGGCGGCGUGCCUAAUACAUGCAAGUCGAGCGAACAGAUGAGGAGCUUGCUCCUCUGACGUUAGCGGCGGACGGGUGAGUAACACGUGGAGAACCUACCUAUAAGACUGGGAUAACUUCGGGAAACCGGAGCUAAUACCGGAUAAUAUAUUGAACCGCAUGGUUCAAUAGUGAAAGACGGUUUUGCUGUCACUUAUAGAUGGAUCCGCGCCGCAUUAGCUAGUUGGUAAGGUAACGGCUUACCAAGGCAACGAUGCGUAGCCGACCUGAGAGGGUGAUCGGCCACACUGGAACUGAGACACGGUCCAGACUCCUACGGGAGGCAGCAGUAGGGAAUCUUCCGCAAUGGGCGAAAGCCUGACGGAGCAACGCCGCGUGAGUGAUGAAGGUCUUCGGAUCGUAAAACUCUGUUAUUAGGGAAGAACAAAUGUGUAAGUAACUAUGCACGUCUUGACGGUACCUAAUCAGAAAGCCACGGCUAACUACGUG